AUAGUCUUAAGAUAUAGGUUAAUCUUUGUGUCUUUUAAACACAAAAAGCUUUAGCAGGCUGUC
rnacentral:tRNA from 1 species